rnacentral:rRNA from 1 species
UACGUAGGGUGCGAGCGUUGUCCGGAAUUACUGGGCGUAAAGAGCUCUUAGGUGGUUUGUCGCGUUGUUCGUGAAAACUCACGGCUUAACUGUGGGCGUGCGGGCGAUACGGGCAGACUGGAGUACUGCAGGGGAGACUGGAAUUCCUGGUGUAGCGGUGGAAUGCGCAGAUAUCAGGAGGAACACCGGUGGCGAAGGCGGGUCUCUGGGCAGUAACUGACGCUGAGGAGCGAAAGCGUGGGGAGCGAACAGG